ACCCACACUCUAAAAACGGCUGGGUUAUUUUUUAACCCAAAAUGUUGGGUUGAGUAUGUUGGGUCAUUUUGUUGGGUUAUUUUAUUUCUUUUUAAACACUUUUGGGUAGUUUCAAUUUACCAGGUGUUGGGUUAAACCUGCUGGGUUGCGUCGCUGGGUUGUUUCAGGCCAGCGCUGGGUUAUUUAACGCGCCUUGAAGAUGUUUAAAUCGCUCCCCAACUGUCACUUUGGAGGAACAACGGGGCAAAGCCACGGCUUUCAACUGUUUUAAGGUAAGUUUAUUUAAUUUUUUCUUUAAUAAUUAUUUUAAAUUGGCAGAAUUAUAACUUUUUUUGCGCAAACAAUACUGUUAAACGUCUAACAGUUACAGGCCAACAUUAUUUACGUUAAAUGAUGAACUGUUCACCUCAAACGGCCAACCUACGUUACGUGACUCGAAUAAUCAUGUUAAGAUAUCUGAGACGACAUAUUAAUACAGUUUUUAUUAAGUUUCAGACAGUGACGGAUGGCUGAAAUAUGCGAAUAACUGUGAAAAUAGAGGAAAAAGUAGUUUCUGACACUGAAAAGCGAAUUUGACAUUUAAGUGAGUGAAAUGAGUUCAAAAAGUGAAUACGACAUUCUGCUCUAAUGUAAACGCAUGCAGUUGUCCAUAUCGACAUGUAAAUCAUACAAAUUACGUGCAAUAUAGUCGGACCGCAGGUCUAAGAGAACCGACGAUCCAGUUCAAAUAAACCGGUUCAGUCUAACAAAGUGAUUCCCGGAAAAUAAUCGACGUCUCAGGGCAUUUCAAAGUGCGCGGAUGCACAGCGAGUGUGGUAGGCCGCGUUAGUGAGGUGAUUUUAUGCUUUUGUGGUUUAUAAAGUCUUUUUACAUACAAGUUAUAACUCAAAAUGUUGUUUUUUCCUGUCAGAAAAGCACAUGGAUACAUUUGUGAGAGAAAAACUCGUCGAGUGCAGCCUUAUUGAGGCGUCUAACGGUUGGAACAAACAUGGAAUUCCUUAACCGAGCAGAGUCCACAAAACCCCAUACAAUUGUUGUGGCGAUUUAAAAAUGCCAGCAGAUCUCUCAGGCAUUGAUCAUAAUCAAUGGACAGGUCACCGUAGCCACCAGAUCCAGUAUGUAUCCAGAUCAGAUGGUGGAUCAGCACCUAGAAAGGACCUCUACUGCCCUGAAAGACAGUGGAGACCAGGACAACUAAAGCCCCAGAUACAGAUCCUCUGUAAAGACUCAGAGGACCACCAGGACAAGACCACAGGAAACAGAUGAUUCUUCUGCACAAUCUGACUUUGCUGCAGCCUGGAAUUGAACUACUGGUUUCGUCUGGUCAGAGGAGAACUGGCCCCCAACUGAGCCUGGUUUCUUCCAAGGUUUUUUCUCCAUUCUGUCACCGAUGGAGUUUCGGUUCCUUGGUUUUCCUAAGUUGGGGACCAUUAAGAUCAAGCGAUAUCAUCGACUUGAUUGCACAGAGGGACGAUACAUCACUGAAUCAAUGAUGAACUGACUUUAACUGAAAACUGAGUGUUUACUGUUAUCCCUUCACAUUAUUACACACUAUUUUCCUUUUUAAUAUUGUAAAGCUGCUAUGAUGCAGUAUUUGAUCAAUAUGACAGGAUUAUUACUCAUAAUACAUGGAAAAUACAGCUGCAAAGGGACUUUGAAACUGAAACAGUAAUUUUUGUUCUGUGUUUUUGAAACAGUGUUUUUAUUCAAUAUUUGCAAUUGUGUUUGGAUUAUGUCACAAUGUGUCUUUAUCUCAUUUCCUUUUGAAAAUUGUCCUUCCGUUGACAGGCUCUAUAGCAGAGUACACUGCUCUCAGGUGUAGAUCUUUGCUUCAGAGCUUAAGUGUUUGACAAUAGUACACCCAAAAAUGAAAAUUGUCAUUAAUUAUUCACCCUGGUCUGAAACCUCUCGAAUUUCAAUUUGUGUUCUGAAGAUGAACGAAGGUCUUACAGGUUUGUAACGACAUGAAGUUGAGUAAUAAAUGACAGAAUUUUCAUUUUUGGGUGAACUAUAUGUUGCACUACCCUAAGCAGUGCACAUCUACCUACAUAUGAGUCUUUAUAUACUUGAUAUAAAUUUAAGGACAUCUUUAAAUAAUUUUACAUUUAAAUUUAAAGAAUGUUAAUUGUCAAUGUCAUUUCACUGUGUAUUUAAAUAGCUAAACAUGUCAAAAUGCAAUAGUUAAACAGCUAGACAGGUCACUCAGAAAUAAUUUUCUUAUUUAUUGCAACUGUAAUUCUGUGAUUUUUAUUUUAUUUAUUUAUUUUGCAUUUGCUGGAAACAAAAAAAAAAAGGAAAAAUUCCAUAUUGUUUGUCAUUGGUACAAAUUUUUGAAUGUCAGAUGGCAUUAAAAUUAUUUUUUAACAGUCUAAAUUACCUGUAUUCUUCAUUAUUUAUUAAUCCAUGAUUGCUUUGUUAAGCAAAAGUAAAAUUAUGAGAAUAACCCAGCAAGAAUAACCCAGAAUCAUAAAAAUGCAAACCCACAAAUGGUAAAACUGACUCUAACUUGGGUUUUCUCAAUAACCCAGCAUGCUGGGUUAAAAUGUGUAAACCAGCAUGUUGGGUUACUUUAACCCAGCACGUGUUCUGUCCAAUAUUUACCCAGCGCUGGGUUGCCAAUUGGGUUAUUUUUAACCCAGCCAUUUUU